GACGAACGCUGGCGGCGUGCUUAACACAUGCAAGUCGAACGGAAAGGCCCUGCUUUUGUGGGGUGCUCGAGUGGCGAACGGGUGAGUAACACGUGAGUAACCUGCCCUUGACUUUGGGAUAACUUCAGGAAACUGGGGCUAAUACCGGAUAGGAGCUCCUGCUGCAUGGUGGGGGUUGGAAAGUUUCGGCGGUUGGGGAUGGACUCGCGGCUUAUCAGCUUGUUGGCGGGGUAGUGGCUUACCAAGGCUUUGACGGGUAGCCGGCCUGAGAGGGUGACCAGCCACAUUGGGACUGAGAUACGGCCCAGACUCCUACGGGAGGCAGCAGUGGGGAAUAUUGCACAAUGGGCGGAAGCCUGAUGCAGCAACGCCGCGUGCGGGAUGACGGCCUUCGGGUUGUAAACCGCUUUCGCCUGUGACGAAGCGUGAGUGACGGUAAUGGGUAAAGAAGCACCGGCUAACUACGUG
rnacentral:rRNA from 1 species